rnacentral:rRNA from 1 species
UACGUAGGGCGCAAGCGUUGUCCGGAAUUAUUGGGCGUAAAGAGCUCGUAGGCGGUCUGUUACGUCCGCUGUGGAAAACCCAGGGCUUAACCCUGGGCUUGCAGUGGAUACGGGUAGACUAGAGGCAGGUAGGGGAGAAUGGAAUUCCCGGUGUAGCGGUGAAAUGCGCAGAUAUCGGGAGGAACACCGGUGGCGAAGGCGGUUCUCUGGGCCUGACCUGACGCUGAGGAGCGAAAGCGUGGGGAGCGAACAGG